CAUGAUUUUACAUCUUACGCGACGUAAUCAUCACAAAAAUCAGUGAAAAAAUUAUUUGCAAUAAAAAGUUAAACGUGAUUGAAAAUCGUUGUUCAUUUGAUGUAAUUUCCCGUCUCUUCUGAUGCACAUAACUGGAGCAUCAGAAUGAACAUAAUUUUACAUCUAACGAAUCUUAAUUCUACCCAUUUUGAACAGCAAAAUUGAUGAAACGCAUCGCAGCGUGCAAGAUUGUCAAAAGUCAGCCAUCUUGGGAGCAAAACAGAAAGUUCAGUUUCAGUUGUAGCCGCAUAAAAACAAUGAAGUCUCGCCUCCGGUGUCGUUUUUCACCAAUGUGUGUCCAUCUGUAAAUUCAAAUGUUAUCAAGGUGGCGGACAAAAAAAUCCCGGCGGGCAGAUUAGAACAGUUUGGCUGAGGACAAAAAUGAAGACAAUACAAUCCGGAACCGAUUUCAUCAAGAACCUACACACUUUGGAGUGCCAGCCGGAGGUUCAACGCCAGUCAGCGUCGCAAUCUGCAACACCGGGGGCAAACAUGGGAAGGAAAAACAAGGCGCGGAUUAGGACCUGGCAGAAACUUCGACGAGAUUCAGGUGCAAAGAAGAUAAUGUGGAUCAGGAGUGCCGACUCAGAUGGCUCUGCUUGUUUGUUUGGGGGGAGUGCAAGUUAUUGGCCGAGAAGAAAUGCAU